CUUGACCUCGGAUCAGGUAGGGAUACCCGCUGAACUUAAGCAUAUCAAUAAGCGGAGG
rnacentral:rRNA from 10 species